GACGAACGCUGGCGGCGUGCUUAACACAUGCAAGUCGAACGAGGUCCAUGGAGUAGCAAUACUCUUGAAGACCUAGUGGCGAACGGGUGCGUAACACGUGAGGAACUUGUCCCGGUCUCUGGGAUAACAGUUGGAAACGACUGCUAAUACCGGAUGACGUCGGAGCAUCGCAUGGUGCGCUGACGAAAGGGUUACCGGAUCGGGAGAGCCUCGCGGCCUAUCAGCUUGUUGGCGGGGUAACGGCCCACCAAGGCAUCGACGGGUAGCUGGUCUGAGAGGAUGAUCAGCCACACUGGGACUGAGACACGGCCCAGACUCCUACGGGAGGCAGCAGUGGGGAAUCUUGCGCAAUGGGCGAAAGCCUGACGCAGCAACGCCGCGUGCGGGAAGAAGGCUCUCGGGUUGUAAACCGCUUUCAGCAGGAACGAAAAUGACGGUACUUGCAGAAGAAGGUGCGGCCAACUACGUG
rnacentral:rRNA from 1 species